ACCGAGGGGUGGCAUAUGUCUGAGAUUUUAGUUUUUCUAAUUACCCUUUGAACCUGAUCUAGUUAGUACUAGCGAAGGGACGGAAGAGA
rnacentral:ncRNA from 1 species